rnacentral:ribozyme from 1 species
UGCCCAGCAACUCCUAUCCCUACCUCCACUCGGUACCGGCCGGAAACUAUGAGCAACCUUAGGGAAGAUCGGGUAACCAACCCCGGUGGGAACUUUGGUCGUAGGCUGACAGGGAAGG